ACAAUGCUUUAAGAAGUUCAAUUGUUCAUAAUAAAAAUUACAAAAUUUGAAACACUAAAAUAAGCAAUAACAAUUACUCCUGACUAAAGGAAAUCGGGAUAGUGUCUUCAGCCUUCCAAUUAUUGAGUCUGUCACCAAUUGUUGGGAAAAUCCAGCUAUCCAAGUCGCAAUCGCUAUCAGCAUCUUCUACAAUAUUAAUCUGAUCUUUGACUAUCUUUUCA
rnacentral:lncRNA from 1 species